rnacentral:rRNA from 1 species
GGAAUUACUGGGCGUAAAGCGUACGUAGGCGGGUUGUUAAGUUAGAGGUGAAAUCCCAGGGCUCAACCCUGGAACUGCCUUUAAUACUGGCAACCUAGAGUUCGAGAGAGGUGAGUGGAAUUCCGAGUGUAGAGGUGAAAUUCGUAGAUAUUCGGAGGAACACCAGUGGCGAAGGCGGCUCACUGGCUCGAUACUGACGCUGAGGUGCGAAAGUGUGGGGAGCAAACAGGAUUAGAUACCCUGGUAGUCCACACCGUAAACGAUGAAUGCCAGUCGUCGGGUAGCAUGCUAUUCGGUGACACACCUAACGGAUUAAGCAUUCCGCCUGGGGAGUACGGUCGCAAGAUUAAAACUCAAAUGAAUUGACGGGGGCCCGCACAAGCGGUGGAGCAUGUGGUUUAAUUCGAUGCAACGCGAAGAACCUUACCUGGUCUUGACAUUCUGCGAACUUUCUAGAGAUAGAUUGGUGCCUUCGGGAACGCAGUGACAGGUGCUGCAUGGCU